rnacentral:rRNA from 1 species
UACACACCGCCCGUCACACCAUGGGAGUGGGUCGCACCAGAAGUAGCUAGUCUAACCGCAAGGGGGACGGUUACCACGGUGUGAUUCAUGACUGGGGUGAAGUCGUAACAAGGUACCC